rnacentral:rRNA from 1 species
GAUGAACGCUGGCGGCGUGCCUAAUACAUGCAAGUCGAGCGAACAGACGAGGAGCUUGCUCCUCUGACGUUAGCGGCGGACGGGUGAGUAACACGUGGAUAACCUACCUAUCAUACUGGUAUAACUUCGGGAAACCGGAGCUAAUACCGGAUAAUAUAUUGAACCGCAUGGUUCAAUAGUGAAAGACGGUUUUGCUGUCACUUAUAGAUGGAUCCGCGCCGCAUUAGCUAGUUGGUAAGGUAACGGCUUACCAAGGCGACGAUGCGUAGCCGACCUGAGAGGGGGAUCGGCCACACUGGAACUGAGACACGGUCAAGACUCCUACGGGAGGCAGCAGUAGGGAAUCUUCCGCAAUGGGCGAAAGCCUGACGGAGCAACGCCGCGUGAGUGAUGAAGGUCUUCGGAUCGUAAAACUCUGUUAUUAGGGAAGAACAAAUGUGUAAGUAACUAUGCACGUCUUGACGGUACCUAAUCAGAAAGCCACGGCUAACUACGUG